UGUUAAAUGUCUAACAGUGACAUCUCAUUUCCAUCUACAUCUACUUUUAUUAUGUUGGUAAAAUCUGUACGUUUACACUAGACUGUUGCUCCCUAAAUUUCCUGAAAGUAAUGCAAUGUUGUGUUUACAUUUAUCGCACAAAGAUCAAAGUGAUAUGCCUGAAUAUGAGAGUGGCAAUGUGUUCUCUCUCCAGAGUGAGCAAUGGGAACAUGAUUCAGAUUGGUGCUAAAAUAUGCAAAAGGACUGUAUGUGCUGAAAGCAACAUUGAAUAUUCAAGGUGGAAAUAAUAU